rnacentral:rRNA from 1 species
GACGAACGCUGACGGCGUGCUUAACACAUGCAAGUCGAACGGAAAGGCCCUGCUUUUGUGGGGUGCUCGAGUGGCGAACGGGUGAGUAACACGUGAGUAACCUGCCCUUGACUUUGGGAUAACUUCAGGAAACUGGGGCUAAUACCGGAUAGGAGCUCCUGCUGCAUGGUGGGGGUUGGAAAGUUUCGGCGGUUGGGGAUGGACUCGCGGCUUAUCAGCUUGUUGGUGGGGUAGUGGCUUACCAAGGCUUUGACGGGUAGCCGGCCUGAGAGGGUGACCGGCCACAUUGGGACUGAGAUACGGCCCAGACUCCUACGGGAGGCAGCAGUGGGGAAUAUUGCACAAGGGGCGGAAGCCUGAUGCAGCAACGCCGCGUGCGGGAUGACGGCCUUCGGGUUGUAAACCGCUUUCGCCUGUGACGAAGCGUGAGUGACGGUAAUGGGUAAAGAAGCACCGGCUAACUACGUG